ensembl:lncRNA LINC02818 long intergenic non-protein coding RNA 2818
CGUCUUCAUUCUUGAAGUCGGUGAGACCGAGAACCCUCCAAUUGCAGACACAAUAUUACAUGAGAUGCCGUUUGAAGCUUUCACCUGGAGUUGGCACAUCUCUGAAACUCCAAACACAUAACAAUAAUAGUUUUUUCAAAAUCCAGGCACGGAUUGGGCUUACUGCACACUUCAGCGUAGGAGCACGUCGGUUCACCAUUAGAGUAACGGAUCUCAGGGGUCAAAGUUGUGGACUCAAUCGUAGAGGAAACCACUGGGCUCACCAAGAGAAUGAUCGUUUCCGGCCCCUUUCUACAUAACUUCAUGCAACACGGAGACUCCUGAAAGUUGUAGAUGAGUUGGAUUUCUGAAAA